ACAGAUUUUGUUUCUACUCCAAUCAGUCAAGCAACUAGAAUAUAUAGAAGAAAUCUAGUGGCUAGUGAACCCCAAUUAAGACCAUCACAGGUCAGGAUAUCUGAUUGCAUAACUUGAAUACAAUUAUCUAGUUUAUUAUUUGAAAAACAUUUAUAGCUUCUAUGAAUGAAACCAAAGCCAAUAAACUUCAUUUUAAACAAAUUGCUGAUGCAGUGGCCUGAAUUUCCUCAAAUUUCCAAUAAACUUCAUUAAAAUUUACAUCCACUAGGCAGAAUUCAGAACAAUUAAUGAAAAGGAAAGCAUACUCCACAAGGGGAAAAACAAGAAAGAAUUGAAAUCUAGGGAAGCAAAUAACCAGAAUUAGCAAGUAAAAUAUAACAAAGAAAUGAUAAACAACCCUAAUAACCAGCUUCGGAAUCAACACGAUCACUCUCCAUAUUUGAAACAAAGUGGCAAACUUUUAAGAAACAAAGAACUACCCAGAACAAAUUACCUCAGAAACGAAAGAUCAAAAUAGAUCAUACUAGAGACAAAUGAUAAAAGAGAGAAAAAUUAAAAAAAAAAAAAAACAUAAUACCAGAGACAAAUGACCAGCCCGCGGGAGAGAACAGAUCAUAGAUGCGAUAACAAUGGUGAAGAUUAUUAUGAGUUCCCAUUCAAAGAGAGAAAUUGACUCUUGUUAGCAAACAAGUUCCAAGAUUUUGGUAGGUAGAAAAGUUAAAAAAAAAAGUUUCUCUUUUUUCCUGUCAAAAGAAAAAGGUGUUCUUUUUUUUUUAUAUAAAAAUAUAUACUUACAUUCCCAUGUGUAAA
rnacentral:lncRNA from 1 species